GAUUUGGCAUACAGACCUUAUGAAAGCAGUUUUAGUAAAGCAGUCCUCAUUUCAAGUGUUAUCCAUAGAUACUCUUCUGCAUGAGCCUUCUCCAAAUUGCCCAGUAAGUCCUCAUUUGCAAUCAGGCCAUGUUCGCCACAACUUGUGGCUCAAAAAAAUUAAAGGAUGUAUCUAUGUCAAAUAAAAUGACUGGUUUAGUAAAAUGGUUUAACUCUGAAAAAGGCUUCGGUUUCAUUAGCCCAACUGAUGGUAGCAAGGAUGUUUUUGUACAUUUUUCUGCUAUUCAGAGUAAUGAUUAUAAAACGUUGGAUGAAGGCCAAAAGGUUGAGUUCUCGAUUGAGAAUGGCGCCAAGGGGCCGGCAGCUGCUAACGUUAUCGCGCUGUAAUACCUGA
rnacentral:sRNA from 1 species